rnacentral:rRNA from 1 species
AUUGAACGCUGGCGGCAGGCUUAACACAUGCAAGUCGAGCGAGCGGCGGACGGGGGAGUAAUGUCGGGGAAACUGCCUGAUGGAGGGGGAUAAAUACUGGAAACGGUAGAUAAUAACGCAUACCAUCAGAUGUGCCCAGAUAGGAUUAGCUAGUAGGUGGGGUAAUGGCUCACCUAGGCGACGACCACUAGCUGGUCUGAGAGGAUGAACAGCCACACUGGAACUGAGACACGGUCCACACUCCUACGGGAGGCAGCAGUGGGGAAUAUUGCACAAUGGGCGCAAGCCUAAUGCAGCCAUGCCGCGUGUAUGAAGAAGGCCUUAGGGUUGUAAAGUACUUUCAGCGUGGAGGCGUUACCCGAAGAAGAAGCACCGGCUAACUCCGUGCCAGCAGCCGCGGUAAUUC